UACGAGGGGUGCAAGCGUUGCUCGGAAUUAUUGGGCGUAAAGGGCAGGUAGGUGGUCUCAUUUGUCUGGGGUGAAAUCCUUGAGCUUAACUCAAGAAGUGCCCCAGAAACGGUGAGACUCGAGUCCUAGAGAGGGUCGUGGAAUUCCCGGUGUAGCGGUGAAAUGCGUAGAGAUCGGGAGGAACACCAGCGGCGAAGGCGGCGACCUGGAUAGGCACUGACACUCAACUGCGAAAGCGUGGGGAGCAAACAGG
rnacentral:rRNA from 1 species